UAGUACUACUUAUUGUUGUUGUUGUUACUAUUAUUGCUGUUAGUAUGUAUACUUGUACGUAUGUAAACCACUUAAAGUUGUUAUGUCUUACAUUUGCUUCAUUAUCUAGCGGCAAGAUCGCUCUACACGCCGCCUUCACCUAACCAAAUUUCGUCUGCCAACUGCUGCGCAUGUUUAUAAACAGAUUUUUGUUGCUUUUCUAAUUGUUUAGUCGCCAGUUAGUUGCUGGUGCUAACACGUAACCCAAUUUCAUGUUGAGGUUGUGCUACAAAAGAGAUAAUUUCUAUUUAAAAGCUUUCAAUGUGAAGGUGGCAAUUAAGAGUUGAAGUUGUUGCUGUUUGUUGUUGUGAAUAUAAUAAAAAAUGUUAUAUAUAAUCGUGAGAAGCAUAAUGAUUUCAACAUCAACUAAAUUUUCAUAGAAAUAUAGAAGAUCUGAGAAAGUUUGGUGGAUCACAUUUGCAUACUAUACCGGCCUCUAAAUUUAAAAAAACCAUUUACUUCAUCACACCACACACUUCCAGUCAUUGCAAUUCUUUCCGCUGCUCAACUGCACGCAAUUCUUCUGCUUUGUCUGCAUAGGUACUCAUUUUUAAGUACAAGGCAUUUAAGAAUAAUGGGUUCUUUUGGAGACACGCAACCAUAUAUGGCACAAGCUCCAACUUGUUUGCUUUACUGAAAUGUCACUGAAAUGACGCUCAAAGUUCAAAGCUGUGUGGGCAGCGUACACGCGAUUGCAAUGAAGCUGGUUGUACGCGUAUGUAGUUGCACAAAUGAAGUUGAAGCUGGAUGUUUGUGCUUGAUUAUGACUUUUUUGCGCUAUAAAAAGUGGAAGUGCUGUAUGAAUCAGACUUGUGUGCCCUUAUAUGGUUUAAUACUUUUUUGUCUUAUUUACUUAAGAGUGAUGAUUACUUGUUUUCGGUUGCUUUCUAAACGGAGAAGAAUGAGGAAGCAAGCAGUAAUGUAAUAAAUAUAUGCACAUUUAGUGUUUAAUAACAAUUGUUAUAUAAAAUUGAACUGACUUAAUAUAAGAAAUUUAUAAUCUAGUUGAAAUAUUUAAAAAUCGUUAACUUGUCGACGUACACAUUUCAAUUAAUUUAGCUUAAAUUUCUUGAAAUAAAAAACAUGUAUUUUCA